GGUUCCAGGAGCGGAACUUCCUCCCGCUCCUGCCUUUCCUUUUACUCCUCCUCUGUCCCUCCUCUUCCUCCCGCUCCUCCUCCGCUCCCAGCCCGCCCCAGGCGGUGCCGACACCCAAAAUCAGCCGCGCUCUGCCCUGGCGGUGGGGUUCCAAAACUGCCCCGCCCCGCGCAGCACUGGGAGCGAUCCUGGGAGCGAUCCUGCGAGCAGCGGGAGCGAUCCUGAGAGAAGGAACUGGGACUACUUUCCCUCCCAGUAUGGCUCUUAUUGGAAGCACUGGGAGGGAACUGGGAGCCAACAGCGCCCGGACGCGGCUGCAGCCGGCGCUGGGCAGGGCCAAAGUAGAGGGCGUGGUUAUGCAAAUCUAGGCGCGCUGUGAUUGGUGGGCAGGAGCAGCGCGGGGUUACCAUAGUCACGUGAAGGCCGGGCUGGAGGCCGCAGCGAUGGCGGCGGUGUCCGGAAUUCCAUUUCCGAAAGUUUGGCCAGAUGGAGGAGGAGGCUGCAAGGAAGAGGAAGAUGGCCAAAGAGCCCCAGUCAGAAAAGGGGGAGCUGAGGAUGGAGACCAGGGAGGAGAAAUUCCCAUGGCAGAACCUCGUGGAUGAGGCCAUUUUGAGAGGCUCGACAGCACAAGAAUGCUGUGGGGACAAAAUGCUCCAGAGAUCCCACAUGAGGAGGGGCUCCAAACUCAGCCCAGGGAGCCCUAAGAAGGAAAGACUCACCCUGUGUUUUGAAAGCGGCCAGAGAUCCAGAUGCAGCUCAGAGCUGGUGGUCCCUGAGCAGCUCCAUGGCAGGGAGAAGCCAUUCCAAGUGCUUGGAAUGUGGGAAGAGCUUCAGCUGGAGCUCCAGCCUCCUCACCCACCUUUGGGUGCACAUGGAUGGGACCCCCUUUGAGCAGGGCCAGAUUUGAGCUGGAAUAUCGGGAUUCCCAGACCCAGGUUGGUGAGUGUGCCCAGCACAUCCAGCACCGACCUGGAGAUGCUGCAAGUCCAGUACAGUCAGAGCAGGGGUGAGUAGGAGGAGCCAGGGGCUGGGGGGAUCAGUGGGAAUGGGGGGUAUCUGUGGGGCUGGGAUGGGAGUUGUCCUCUUGCUCCUCACCAUUCUGUCCUUCCCAGAGCCCAGUCACUCCCAGUAUGAUCCCAGUUGCUCUCAGCAACUGGUUCCAAUUGCUCCCUGUUCCUCCCAGUGCGAUACCAGUGGCCUCUAGUAGAGUCCCAGUCACUCUCCAUAUGAUCCCAGUCUCUUCCACCAGGGUCCCAGUCACGCCCAGUUGCCCUCAGUGUAGACCUGGGCACUCCCACUUGCUCCCAGUUACUUCCAGCAUGGUCCCAGUUGUCCCCAGCAUGGUCUGGGUUGUUCUCAGUGUGGCUCCAGUCACCCCAGUAUGGUCAGGGACACUUCCAAUAUACCCCAGUGGCCUUCAGCAUGCUUGGAGUCAUUCCCAGUCACUCCCAUCAUGAUCUCUGUAUGAUCCCAGGAAUGCCCAGUCACUUCCAGUAGGAGCCCAAAGCUGAUGGAACAGCUGGAGGAUCCACCUGGAGGAGGGUCCCUACAAGUUCUCUGGCUGCAGGAAGAGCCCCAAGGAACAGAGAUCCCACCAGAACCACCACCCAAAGUAGGAGGUGGUGACAGCUCUGCAGCCUGGGGCCCCGGGACCACCAGGGGAGCCCCCAGACCGACAGCCCAGCAAGUGGCUCACACAGCCCCUCAUCCUGUCCCCAAAAUCCCACUCCUGGGAUCCCUCAUCCCCCUCUGCAAUCCCUCCUCCAACAUCUCCAGGCCUCUGGGAGGAGCCCAAAGGGAUGGAAGUGCCUAAAAUGCUGCUGAAGUGCCCGAACUGCUCCCAGCUGUGGAUGUUCCUGUCCACAAGCCUCUCUUGGUCAAUGCCAUGGUGUGCUGGGAAAGGGUUUAAGGGAUCCUGAGGGGAUUGGGAGGCGGUUUUGGUGGCUCUUGGUGGCAUUUGUAGUGUUAAGAACGGUCUGUGGGGGAGUUCUUGUAGUUCUGGGAGCAUUGUGUGGCUUGGAGAGAAUUUGUGUGGGUCUUGGUGGAGAUGGGAAAGAGUUUUGAAGGAUCUCAGGGCCAUUUAUAUUGCAUAGAGAGGCUUGGGGAGGGAGGACAGCUGGGAUCUGUGGGGUAGUUUGAGAGGGCUGGGAGUGGCUGUGGGGCUUGGGGGGGGAAUUUAGGCUGGUUGUGAGUCCCCAGACCCCCAGAGCUGCCACCAGACUCUGCCCACGAGGUGCUGCCAGUGGACAGGUGCUCAGUGUUGGAGUUUUUCUUCCUGACACCGUGAGAGUGUGUCCCUCCAGACCGUGUGUGACCCCCCCCCCAUCCCAGUGUCACCCCCUUUUCCCUCUCCACAGGGCUUCUGACCCAGCUCCUGCUUCUCCCAGCAGAGAAUUUGGGGAGGGGGCAGAGAGGUUGCGCAGCCCCCGAUGGGGGAUGACCCCACCCCAGCUUCUUUGUUUAGCACCAAGCUGGGCUUGGGUCCACGGGAGGAAGAGGAUGAUGGGAAGCAGAUCCUGCAGGUGGGACAGUGCUUGGGGUCAGGGCAAGGUCCUGCCCUGCACACCUGGCUCAGAUGUGACCCUGCCCAGGGUAGGGAGGAGGAUGUUCCCAUCCCCACUGAUCCUAUUCCUAAAAUCCCACUUAGGGAUCUCUCACCCCUCUCUGCAGUCCCCCUUCCAACAUCUGCAGGCCUCUGGGAAGAGCCAUGAUGCCGGUAUAACUUAGAUCAAUGUUACAAGAUGCUUGUAUAUCUUGACUUUUAAGAUAUCAAUAUAACCUGAUAUCUCUAUAUUACAUGUUAUCAUUAUAAUCUAAAUCAUGAUUUUUUAUGUAUUUAUAUGACCUCAUACCUCUAUAACCUGAUUCAUAGGUUUUUUUAUGUAUAUAAUCUGAAUUAUAACUUUUAUACCCAUAUAACCUGAUACAUAUAACUUUUUAUGCAAUGUAAUGGCUAAUAAAUGGUUAACUAGUUGCUUAAUGCUGAAUAGACAAAAAUGGCAGAAAAAAAAUCGCCAGGUGGAUAGCUUUAGGGAUAGAUUAGUACUAAUGAGAAAAUGGCAAGUGCAAAGCCAAUUAUCCACAAAACAAAGAAUUUAGGCCAGUUAGGACCAGACAGACCAAGGAACACCAUAACUGCACAUGGUCCAAAGACAUCAUUGAAAAGUUCAGAUGCGAAGAAGACCUUGGAAGCUUUCAUCAAAGACCCCCGAUGACCCCUGAAUUGGAGAGAUGCAAGCGCAGUGCAGAAGAACUAUCUAAUAACCAUGAGAUCAUACUAUGUAAAUUAGUUCUGGCACAUCGUGGUUUAGGGCAAAUUCGGGAGGAAACCUCCAAAUAGGAUCCCUCUGGGAAACAGACCCAAAUGGCCUCUUCCCCAAUUGGUCUGGGAAAAAAAAUCUCCUUAGAGAAAAGUGGAAAAAAAUAUUUAUUUAACAAACAAAGUGCCCACAAGCACCAAAAAAUGAAUAAUAUGAAACAAUAAAACUUCCCAUCAUUGGUGAGAUGGCAAAAUCAGAAACUCGUUUUGGUGGAGCUCAGCUCACUCAGUCUCUCAUCAGUCCCUCUAGAAAACAGGAGAGGUCCAGGCCCCAGUGGGCCUCAGGUGGGAACUCCCGGUGCUCUUCCACAUUUUACCAGAGCGGGUUUGAACAGUCCCAAGAAAAAGGAAAAAAAAACAGUCCCGGAAACUUCACUGCCUCAGCUAGCUAAAAACGAACUAAAAGCAAAGGAGUUCUCUGUUCUGCUUUCUGUCCGUGCUGCAGACAACACAAUCCAGGAGCACAAUGUGGAGAAGUGAGUGCAGUUUUGGAAAACAAACUGCGCGCUUCUUCUUUACCCCCCUUUGCUCUCAGAACCAGUCUUAAAGGUACAGAACAUAAUAUCCAACUAAACAGAACAGGCAAUUGGGGAUACAAGCAUCACAAAGUCACCCUAGGACAUUCUACCCCUUAUCCCCAUAUUGUCAACUUGCUACCAAAACUAAUACAUAUUCUAACUCUAUGCUCACAUACAUUAUACAUACAUAUACAUAUAUAUAUAUGUAUAUAUAUAUACAGUAGACAGCUAUAUACAGACAAUGGUAGUGACAUUCAGCAAACAAUGAUAUUUACACAUAGUUCUCACCCAACAAUCCUGUCUCCCUGAGGUACACAUGGUGUCGUUCCAUCUUUCUGCAUUAUCCACCAUGAGUAACCUGGUCCCUGAGCAAAGACAACCCCACAGAUGGGCUUGUCUGUUCUUGAGGCAGAAUUGAUCCAAACUGUCUUCUCUAACAAACCUCUGACAUGCACCACUGGGACUUUAUCUCUGUUUACUGUAUGCAGGGGCUCAGACUAGGCAGGGCCUGCUUGGUUGAUGGAGCCUUGGGUGUUAACUAACCAGGUGGCCUUUGCUAAAUGCUGCUCCCAGUUUUUGAAAGAUGCCCCACCCAGUGCUUUCAAGGUCGUUUUUAACAGUCCAUUGUACCUCUCCACUUUGCCUACAGCUGGUGCAUGGUAGGGGAUAUGGUACACCCACUCAAUGGCAUGUUCCCUAGCCCAGGUGUUGAUAAGGCUGUUCUCUAAAUGGGUCCCAUUGUCUGACUCAACCCUCUCAGAGGUACCAUGCCUCCAAAUAAACUUGCUUUUCAAGGCCUAGGAUGGUGUUACGGGCCAUAGUGUGAGGCACAGGGUAGGUCUCCAGCUAUCCUGUGGUGGCUUCUACCAUUGUGAGCACAUAGCCCUUACCUUGGCAUGUCUGGGGCAGUGUGAUAUAAUCAAUCUGCCAGGCAUCCUGAUACUUACAUUUGGACCACUGCCCACUAUACCACAAGGGCUUCACCCACUUGACCUGCUUGAUUGCAGCACACAUCUCACAGUCAUGGAUAACCUGAGAAAUGCUGUCCAUGGUUAGAUCCACCCCUCGGUCUCGUGCCCACUCACAGGUGGCAUCUCUGCCCUGAUGACCUGAGGCAUCAUGAGCCUAUCGAGCUAGGAACAGCUCUCCCUUGUGUUGCCAAUCUAAGUCUAUCUUUGACACUUCUGUCUUUGCAGCCUGAUCUACUCGCUUGUUAUUUUGGUGCUCCUCAUUAGCUCUACUCUUGGAGACAUGGGCAUCUACAUGGCGGACUUUCACAGAUCAUCUCUCUAUCCUGGUAGCGAUGUCUUUCCACUCUUCAGCAGUCCAAAUUGGUUUUCCUCUAUGCUGCCAGUCAUCCUUUUUCCACUUCUCCAGACAUCCUCAUAGAACAUUAGCUACCAUCCAUGAAUCAGUAUAGAGUUUCUUGGGUUAUGUAACCAAAAAAACCCAAGUGUAUUCUAUUUCAUCUGUUGAAAGGAGCUGGGGAGAUGUUAUUUAUCUCUUGUAACUCCAGGGGGGAGGGGGGCAGAUGCCUUCUGAUAAUAGGCCAGCUGUUAAAACCAGGUGGGGCAGUGUUUCUUAUCUCUUUUACCACCCUUUCCACCUUCCAGGGUGAUUUCUUCUGUUAAUGGGCCAUUAAGGCUCACCAAUGACAUGACAUAUUACAUCAUCCCAUUGUAAGGUGCUCCACCCAGUGAGGGGGGAGCCAACUAUUCCUAUGUAGAUAAAAACUGAGACAUAGGAAUACCAGGUAUCCUCUUUUCCACUGGAUUCCCAGAGGAAGAGCAGACUCAUUUCACCACCACUGGACCCUUUCUACAGGAUCAUCUCUACUCCGGCAGAACCACAUCUGUUUCUCCAGGAGAAUUUAUCUGGACUUCUUCCAACACCCUGACCAACAGGGUGUCAGGUCGUAUAUCUGACUCUGUCAGGGUUUCUAGGUUGUUUGUGUGUUUUUGUACUACUACAUUUAUAUUUUUAAUAUUCCUAGUAAAGAAUUAUUAUUCCAUUUCCCAAAACUUUGCCUGAAAGCCUUUAACUGCAAAAUUAUAAUAAUCUGGAAGGAGGGAGGUUUACAUUUUCUAUUCCAAGUGAAACUCCAGUUUUCCCUGACAGAUACCUGUCAUUCUGAACCAAGACAAGAGUUUUGGCCACUUCUGUCCUUCAGCAAUGUCCGGGCCAGCUGUUCAAAACUGAACAGCUUUGAGUCCAGCAAGUUGGCUUGACCCACCUUCUCCUUCAGUAGCUUAUGCAACCUGUCGUGUGGGGCUCCAUACAGCUGCUUUUCACUUUUGUUUCAUCCAUACAAUGUGACAAAAACCAUCUGUAAAAAGAGCAUAAUGUGUUUCUUCCUGCUGGCAGUUGGUUAUAUGGUGGAGCUUCUUUGGCACUUGUCACUUGCUCUUGUUCGUCUGCAUCAGUGAGAUUAAAGUUUUCACCUUCAGGUGAAUUGGUAAUUAUUAUUAUUAUUUGUAAUCUGUAAUUAUCUCUAAAAUCCCAGGGCAAUUCAGUUUUCCAAUAUGGGCACACUGUGUGAUGAGAGCAAUCCACUUACUCCAUGUGGCAUUGGUUGGAUGGUGGAUAGAGGGAACCUCUGCUUUGAACAUCCAGCCCAGCACCGGUAGUUGGGGUGCCAGGAGGAGUUGUGUUUCAGUGCCUGUUACCUCUGAGGUGGCUUGGACUCCUUCAUAGGCUGCUAAAAUUUCCUUCUCUGUUGGAGUGUAGUUGGCUUCAGACCCUCAGUACAUUCUACUCCAAAAUCCUAAUACUCGGUCUCGAGUCUCACCAGGCACGUUCUGCCAAAGGCUCCAGGACAGACCGUGGUUCCUGGCUGCAGAGUAGAGCACAUUCUUCACUUCUGGUCCUGUCCUGACUGGGCCAAAGGCUACUGCAUGAUCGAUCUCCUGCUUGAUCUGGGCAAAGGCUUGCUGCUGUUCAGGGCCCCAGUGGAAAUCGUUCCUCUUGCGGGUAACCAGGUAUAGAGGGCUCAUGAUCUGACUGUACUCAGGAACGUGCAUUCUCCAAAAGCCUAUGGCACCUAGGAAAGCUUGCGUUUCCUUCUUGUUGGUUGGUGAACACAUUUCUGUGAUCUUAUUGAUGACAUCAGUGGGAAUCUGAUGCCAUCCAUCUUGCCAUUUUAUUCCCAGGAAUUGGAUCUCUCGAGCAGGUCCCUUAACUUUGCUCUUCUUGAUAGCAAAACUGGCUUUCAGGAGAAUCUGGAUGAUUUUCUCUCUUUUCUCAAAUACUUCUGCUGCAGUUUCCCCCCACAAUGAUGUAAUUGAUAUACUUCAGAAGUUCUGGAGCCUCACCCUGGAUCAGCCUCUGGAUCAGCCCAUGGCAAAUGGUAGGACUGUGCUUUCACCCUUGCAGCAAUCGGUUCCAGGUGUACUGCAGUCCCCUCCAUGUAAAGGCAAACUGAGACCUGCAUUCUGCUGCUAAAGGAGUAGAAAAAAAUGCAUUUGCAAUGUCAGUAGUGGUGUACCACUUUGCUGCCUUGGACUCCAGCUCAUACUGGAGCUCUAACACGUCUGGCACAGCAGCGCUCAAUGGUGGAGUCACUGCAUUCAAGGGACAAUAGGCCACAGUCAAUCUCCAUUCUCCUUCAGAUUUGCAUAUAAGCCAUAUGGGGUUGUUGAAGGGUGAGUGCAUUUUGCUGACCACCCCUUAGCUUUCCAGCUCAAGGAUCAUCUUGUGGAUGGGAAUCACAGCAUCUCAAGUUGUUCUGUACUGUCGGCGAUGCACUGUCGAAGUGGCAAUUGUUACUCGUUGCUCUCCCCCAUUCAGAAGUCCUACUGCAGAUGGGUUCUCUGAUAGUUCAGGUGAUUCAAAUAAAAUCUAAAAGAUCAUGGACAAAGACCCUAUAACUAGUUACCGUUGGAAAGUAGUAUGUUUAUUUCGACAUUGGGCAGCAGGGGAGGUGCACGCACAUUACAAAGCUCUAGCCCUCUAUUUACAAGUCUUACAUACUCAAAAUGUUUAUACAUAUGCAUAAUCUCAGCACCUCCCAUUCUUCUCUUCAUAUUAUAAUGAGGCUGGAGUCCUUUACACUUGAGCAAUUCUUCACUUGAAUUGGGUUGGUGGUCCUUGAAAUGGCUCAGUGGUCUUGAAAGAUGAAGUCAGGGAUGUCUUGCUCGCAAUGACCUUUCUACCUUUUGCCUCUGGGAGGCUUUUGUGACCUCUUGGCACAAUUCAAUCCCUCCUGCUUUGGUUCCAAUUAGUUUCUGGGUCCAAGUGCGUCAAGAUUCCAUUGGUUUUCAUCUGUUAUCCUCAUGGUCUAUUUAUCUCAUUUCCUUCUACAAACACAACCAAGACAGGCCUAUAAUAGCAAGUAAUAGAUUAUCUAUGCUCCAGCUUAAGCAUCUAAUAAUUAACUCAUCUUUGUUUUUCUAACUUGUAUCCUAAUCAACAUAUAUUGCUUCUAUUCCUUGGUUAAAAUCUUAACUCUUUAAAAUCUUACCUCAUUUUCUGCACUCCUCCAGAAUUAGUAAAUUCUUUUAUCUCUUCUUAUCUCUUCAUCUAACCAAGCUGUGCAGUGUCUCUCAAGACCAUACUGUAUGCUCUUGACAGUGAGGUCAAAGCUGCUACUUGUCACAGCAUUCUCCAGUUCCAAACAAGUACUACAACAGGCAAAAUCAAACUUAUGUCAACUAAAGUAAGUAGAACAAUAAUUGGGUGAACCAAGGUUCACUAUAUGGUUUCUGUGUCACAGUGAAUUGUAAUCCAGGUCUUCUUUUUUCUAUCUUUAAUCUCUUUAAGAAUUUCCUUUAAUUCAUUGUGUUUCAAUAAUUGUGCAACUACAGUUAAGUUCAUCCCUAUAGGCACAGGCGAUAUUUCUUGCAUAGUAGUUUAAUUCGCCUUUAUGUGUUGGUGUGAUACAACAGGUGCCUGAUAGGAAAAAUCACAUUCUUCAAUUUUGACAAAGUUACAAAUCCACAAGUUGAAUUGAGUUUCAUUCGUGGUGAUCUCGUCCACCAUUAUAGUGGGGCAUGUUGUUCUGAGGCAGACACAACCUUGUCCUGUAUACACAAGCAGGGUUGUCUGGUUAAUUGAAUGCAUUUCAAAGUGAUAAAUGCUCUGUUCUGUGUCCAAACAAAUAUUCUUGUCAUCAUCUCUAUUUUCUUCACAUAUAAACCCCAGUUGUUUUCUCAUAGAACAGGGUUCUAAGUUAAUAGUUUGCCAUUUUCCUUCAAGCUUUUGUGCCCACAUUUUUUGUUCAGAAGGAUAUAAUACGAUCCCCUUGUGGUUUAAUCCUAAAGCAACUAUUGGAUGUAUCAAGGUUACUGAUGCACUGUGUAUAGUUAAAGGCUGUUAUCAUACUUGUCACUGGGUUAUAGGUAAAAUAAACUAAAACCCACUAAGGUGUAAGUUCUCUUUCUAAGUCAGAAGCAUUAUCCCAACCAGUUUUGCAGAUUUCAGAAGGGAAUGCGCCUUCUUCGCCUUCUCUGACAACUGAAGCAGCCACUGAUUGCAUCCACAACCGUCCUUGUGUACACCCAAGGGCCAAGGAAGUAGUUUCACUAGCUGUGCCUAAUGUGUUAAUUUUCCCUUUAUGAUCUUGCUCCUCUAUGUUUUCCCAUUCUGGUAAUAUUUUCGACAACUUCUACUGCCUAGUACCAAAUGUCAUUAAGGAAGAUUGUAAAGAUUGUUGUAAUUUAACUAUGUCACUUUUAAUUGCUGUUAAUUUUUUCAUUCUUCUUCAUUUUUUCAUUCAUACUUCUGAAUCUAUUUGUGUUCAAAACCUCCAGUACUGUCUUUAAUAAUCUGGUAAGGUCUCUCUUUUGUCUAAACAGAUCAGGCAUAUGUAGCCAGGUGGUCCAAUCCAUAAAAGAGGUCUUAAGAAAUGGGGCACACUCUGGUUGAAUGGAGGAGGCAUUUACCUGUAUUGCUAUUUCUGCUCGCUUCAAAGACUAUUCUGGAUUAACCAACAGCCUUUGAAUUCCUGUCUUUUUAAUAGCAUAUGGCCCAAUUUUGGUAAUUAUGGGAAUUACAGAUUGAGUAACUUCUAAGGUAGUUGGAUUUUUAGUAGUCAUGGUCUCUCCUAAUGUUGGUGUUGGUGGAGUUAUUUCAACCUUAUCCUUCUGAAAAUCAGUACAAACUCAGAUUAUAUUAUAAUCAAUCUUAAAAUCCUUAAUUGCACAUCCUUCUAUUUUAAGCCUAAACUCGGGACAAUUGAUUAGGCAUUUGUCACAACAUUCAGGUCCGAUUUGGAUGGGUUUCACAGGUCCUUGGUGAGAUUCAUGGAAUCCAUCCUGAAGAAACACAUAUUUACAUCUCCAAAUGUUUCUUCCUUCGCAAACAGUUGCAUUUGUAACUUUCAACAUCUGCCCCUGUGAGGGUAAAAGUCAUAAGCUUUCCCUUGACACUUGUACAUACCAGUCACAUUAUACGCACACGGUAUUGCCUUAACUCCAGCUAUGGCUGUAACAAUGACUGCAGAAGCCACAACUCUCCAAACUAUGCCUGCUUGAUUUUCCAUAACAACUACAAAUCCUUCUAUUCCUCAAAAAAAUUGUUGAGCUAUGCUAACAUUUUACCCACACACUAUUCACUUUCCUGAGUAAGCUUCAAUUUUAGUUCAUUGUCACAUGGUGUGGCUCUCCAAAUUCCUUCAGGAGCCUUCUUCACUCAGGUGUGAUGAAUCUAUGCAUUUUGUUCUUUGAUCUUGAUUGUGGUAAAGGUGGUGAGGAGCACCUGGAAUGAUCCUUCCCACUGGAGUUCCAAAAUCUUUUCUGCAAAAGACCUAACAUAUACAUAAUCCCCUGGCUGUACAUUAUAUACUGGCCCAUCUAGUUCUCUAUUUCGAGCCCCAGCCACAUAUUUCUUAGUUUCUCUAAGCUGUUUGUUGAGGGUCACUCUAUAUUUGUGUAGGGUUUCUUCCCCUACUUGGGUAAGUGUUAUUCCUUCUUGGACCCUGUAUGGUUUUUUAUACAAUAUUUCAAAAGGACUAAAUUUUCUCUCUUGGCUUGGUCCAAAUUCAUAAUAAUGCUAAUGGAAGAAGAGCCUGUGGCCAAGGUAGCUUUGCUUCUGGUCCCAAUCAUAUGAUUUGCUGCUUAAUCAAAUGGUUUGUUUUCUCCACCUGGCCACUUGACUGGGGAUGAUACGGGGUAUGAAGUUCCCAGUUUACACCUGGGUGGUGUCUAAUUUGUUGCAUGAUUUUUGAAAUAAAAAGACCCCCUGUCUGAUGACAUUGCGGUUGGGACUCCAAAAUGCAGUAUUAUUUCCUGUAACAACACUUUGGUUGCCUCUUACACUUUGGCUUUUCUGGUAGGGAAAGCUUCUGGCCAGUCUGAAAAGGUAUCUGUUAACACCAAUUGGUACCCUCCUUUCCUUGGGUAGUUCUGAAAAAUCAAUUUGCCAUUGUUGCCCAGGUCCAUAGCCUUUCUCAGUUUGUCCAAGUUUUGGUUUAGGAAUAUUUUUGGGAUUAGUUUGGAGGUAAAGACUACAUUGGCGAGUCACUUGAAUUACUUUACUUUGCAAGUUUCUGGCUAUGAUUCUGUCCUUCAAAUAGUUAUCCAAGGUUAUUAUAUAUAUAUAAUACUUAGAUAUAUAUGUAUAUACACACACAUAUAUAUACACACA